AGUGAACGCUGGCGGCAGGCCUAAUACAUGCAAGUCGAACGGCUGCACGGCAGAGCUUGCUCUGUGGGUGGCGAGUGGCGGACGGGUGAGGAAUACAUGGGAAUCUGCCCAGUCGUGGGGGAUAACGUAGGGAAACUUACGCUAAUACCGCAUGCGCCCUUCGGGGGAAAGCCGGGGACCUUCGGGCCUGGCGCGAUUGGAUGAGCCCAUGUCGGAUUAGCUAGUUGGCGGGGUAAUGGCCCACCAAGGCGACGAUCCGUAGCUGGUCUGAGAGGAUGAUCAGCCACACUGGAACUGAGACACGGUCCAGACUCCUACGGGAGGCAGCAGUAGGGAAUAUUGGACAAUGGGCGCAAGCCUGAUCCAGCCAUGCCGCGUGAGUGAAGAAGGCCUUUGGGUCGUAAAGCUCUGUCGGGUAGGAAGAUAAUGACGGUACUACCCGAGGAAGCCCCGGCUAACUACGUGCCAGCAGCCGCGGUAAGGAGUAGUACA
rnacentral:rRNA from 1 species